CCGGAUCCCCCAUCCGAAGUAGUCGUCAUGGAAACCCCGAGACCGCGCGAGCCUCCAGUUUAAAGGGACCGAGGGGGCUCCAAGACUCCGUGUGUCUAGCCCGGCACAGUCCAGGACAACGGGCGAUGGAGGCGGGAGGACUGCCCGAAGGAGGCGGUGUCUGGGCGGAACCUCUAGAGCCGCUGCGGGCGGGAGUAAAGCAAUACUCGGCUAGAGCCUCGUGGCGCUGGGGCCUGGGGUGGCCCUGGGCGGAUCCGCAGGCUGCGGUCGAUGCACGCGAGGGGCUGGGAGGCUACUGAAAGCGAAGGCCAAGCUGACCAUCCCUGCCCUCCACACACCCUCGAGCCCCUGGCCGCGCCCUCGCCACGACCGUGCGCCCUACCGAGGGGACCGCGCCGCCGCCGCCGCCGCGGAGCCGCUGGAUGUCGCGGGAGGGCGCUGGGCGGUCACGGGGCUGUCGGGGUCCUGCGUGCGGGAGCCAGGUGCCCCCCGCCCCACCGCCGGGGCUGGUGUCCCCCCGCCCCGGCCCGCCUUCCUCCGCUUCCCGGGCGCCCAGGAUUUUCCCUCUCCCGUGGUCCUUCUCUUCGGCAAACGGGCUGGUUUCUUUCACACCCAAACGAAACGGACUUCCGCGCCCGCAGCCCCCGCACCUCCCCUCGCUGUCCAGUUCCUUUGAUAUGCACCACAUCUUUAUCCAUUCAUCCAUCCAUGGGCAUUUAGGUUGCUUCCAUGUCUUGCUAUUGUGAAUAAUGCUGCAGUGAACAUGGGGGUUCAGAUCUCUUUCCGAGAUAGUGGUUUAGUUUCCCCCCACCGAGCCCGCUCCUGCCCCGCCGCGCCCUUGAGCUGCCCUGGCCCACCCGCAGACCCCAGGGACCAGUCCACAGACCUCCCACGUGCCAUCAGCGGCGCGAGGUCCCCCCCCUCCGCGCUGCACGGUGCCCCUUCGCGGCGCUGCCAGGCAGGCCUCUGCGCCCGCCUCUGCAGGGCCACGUCUUGGGCCUCUUCUCCACCUACACCCCAUCCUUUGUGACUGAACUCAACUGCGGUUGUGAAGGCCAGCCGUGUAGCUCCAGGUUCGCGUGUCCAGCUGCCCGCACAUCUCCACUAGGAGAAGAGGCCUCAAAGACAGGCAGCCCAACACGGAGCUAACGUCACCCUCCACUGCCGCCGCUCCCCCGGAAAACUCAGCGCUGCCCACAGCUUUACCCCUCUCGGCGGAGGGCCGUGCAUCCCUGCAGAUGCUCAGAGGAAACCCACGUUCACCCCCUCGGAAAUCCUGGCUGCUCACACUCAGAGCCACCAGCAUCUCUCUCCCGCGCCUGCUGCCCUCACCCGGGUCCUCCACCGUGCAGUCUCCCUGCUGCCUGCCUCGUGGUGGUCCAGUCUCCAGAAGAAAACCAGAAGGACCUUUUUUAUAACCCGUUUUGAAUUGUAAAAGUUCCCCGUGUGGGACGUGCCCGCAAUGCCCUCCUCUUCAAGACUGAGUAAUAUUCCCAUCUGGGUGGACGACCUCGUGCUCAGCCACUCCUCUGCAGCCUUCCACAGACCCCACCGCACCUGCGACCGUCAAGCCCUAACGCGGCAGGGAUGCAGAGCACCUGCGACUUCCCCGCCCAGCCACACCAGCCCCGAACCCUCCUGCCGCGGACCCUCUGCCACUCCUGCCCCAGGGCCUUCGCUCAAGCCGGGCCCCACGGACAGCCGCGGGCUUCUCCCUCCCUGCUUUGCCUCUCCGGGAAAGCCGGCCCACCCGCCCAGCAAGGCGGCUGCCGGCCUGCCUCAUCUGUGCCUAUGUCAGUCGGCUCCGGCUCCGGCUGCUGCAACAAAAUCCCACAGACCUGGGGGCUUCAAGGCUGUGAGACUGCAGUCAGGUCUGAGCCGGUUUGGCCUCUGGUGACAGCCAGCCUCUGAGUGUCCUCGCAGGGCUUUUCCUUAGGGGGUGCACCCUGGUGUGGGGAGGCGUGUUUUCUGGUGUCUCUUUCCUUUUUUUUAUUCAAUUUACUUAAAAUUAAAAAGAUUGUCCGUUUUCCCUUCCCCUUCCUCCCUCCUCUGGAAGGGAAACAGCAUUUUCUCUGUACCUCUGACCUUGGCUUUCUUUUAGGUCCCACAUAUUAGUGGGAUCAUAUGGUGUUGUCUCAGCUUCAUACCCUCUAGGGCCAUCCGUGCUGUCACAGAUGGGAAGAUUUCAUUCUUUUUCAUGGCUGAGUAAUAUUCCAUUUUGAUAUGCACCACAUCUUUAUCCAUUCAUCCAUCCAUGGGCAUUUAGGUUGCUUCCAUGUCUUGCUAUUGUGAAUAAUGCUGCAGUGAACAUGGGGGUUCAGAUCUCUUUCCGAGAUAGUGGUUUAGUUUCCUCUGGAUAGGUACCCAGAAGUGGAAUUACUGAAUCAUAUGGUACUUUUAUUUUUGAUUUUUUGAGGAACCUCACACUGCCUUCCAUAGUGGCUGCAGCAAUAAGCAUUCCCACCAACAGUGUAGGAGGGUUCCCUUUCUCCAUGUCCUCCCCAACACGUGUUAUUUAUCAUCACUCUGAUAACAGCCAUUCAUCAGGUAUGAGGUGGUAUCUCAUGGUGGUGGUGCCUCUUCUCUAAGGACACUAAUCCUGUCAUUUAACUUUCAUUUCUCCCUUAGAGGCCCAUCUGCAGAUACAGCAACAUGGGGUGGCGGGGUGUUACAGCCUCAGCAUCUGAACUUGGGGGCACAAUUCAGGGCACAGUACCCUGCCUCCACAGCCCCCUGACCCUGCCUGUACUUAUUUUUUCCCUACACUUCCCACCUUCACACUCACUGUAUAGAAUGUGUCAAUUGUCCAUUGUGUCCAGGGUUCAGGUGGGUGGCAAUUUUGCCCUCAGACACAUUUAGAAAUAUCUGUACCUGGAGACAUUUUGGGUUGUCAUGGAUGGCAUCAAGGUGCUACCGAAUCUAGUGGGCAGAGGCUUGGGGUGCUGCCCAACACCCUGCAGUGCACAGGAAUGGCGCACCCCAAAUGGCUGACACACCGUGGGUGAGAAAGCCCCAUCGGCACCUUCCCGCUGGGACGCCAGGCCCUUGGGGCAGCAGCCUGCAUCUCUUCUGCUCUCCGCAGCAUCUGGCUCCACCCUGGGACCAGAAGUUGGGCGGAGUGAAAGCAGGAGGCCCAGGUGAGCAGGACCAGCCUGUGCAGGCUCAGGGGCAUGGGCCGCAUGGCCAGGCCUGGGAGGAGCUGCCUUCAACAGGGCUCGGGAGAGGUGGGACAGGGGGUCACUUCAUCAGGAAGCCACUGCAGCCCCCAGGAGGCCGGAGGCAGAUGGCAGCAGAAACAGAGCUGGCUGGUGACUGGACAUGCCCGUGGCUGCGUGGAAGGAAGAGCCAACAGAUGUGGAACCACUUUCAGAGAUGAGGAACAGGUGCAGGGAGUGGUGGCCGAUUCUGUCAGAAAUGGAGGUGAGAGGCGUGGGAUCCCCAGGCCCAGGCUCAGAGCCAAGGUCCCGCUGGUGGUUGAAGUGAGGGCAUUGCCGGCGUUACAUACGGACUGUAUACUGACACCAGGAACCUCUAAGUUCAUGCCUCAGUGCUCACACCCACUUUCCAGGGCCCUCACCCCUGGCCAACCACUCCAGCUGCUGCCUGUCUGGGACCAAGCUGUGGGGCUGGGGUGCUGAACGCCAUCUCAAGGGUCUGGGAGAUGCCGGAUCUGCUGUCUCACACUGGCCUUGGGCUCGGCCUGGGUGGUGUCUCGGAGCCUUCUCCUUCCAGAGCAGGUGUCUUCGCCCUCACUGACCACCCCCCUUACCCCUUGUUCACCUCACCAGAGGUACGGGGAGGCGGAGCCCAUAACAAUCACAGAGGGACACAGGUCUGAGGGAAGGAAGGAGGCCAAGGAGACGUCAAGUCUGACGGGAGGGUGGGGGGAUUUGGGGGCAUGGGCCCAAGGGGCAGUGGCAGAAUUUGGUCUUGGUCAUGUCUGGGUGACCCAGAUGAGACUUUGACAGUAGAAAAGGGCUGGGAGAGGAAGUGAGAGCCAGGGCUGUGCGGCUUCACUGUUUAGCUAGUUAGGCUCUGGAAUCUAGUGCACACACAGCACACAUUUAGCAGGACAGGGAGACCUAGUCCACCAAAUCCUAACCCACAGGCCUAAGCUGAUAUGUGUGUUGCAGGGGGAAGGGGGAGAGAAAACCCACCCCUAACUGGCUUGUAAGUCCAGGGGGAGGAAAUCCUGGGGCAAAAUACCUCUAAAAACUGAAAUCAGUCAAAGGGAGAAAUAAAGUUUAUAACCUGUU